GAUGAACGCUGGCGGCGUGCCUAAUACAUGCAAGUCGAGCGAACAGACGAGGAGCUUGCUCCUCUGACGUUAGCGGCGGACGGGUGAGUAACACGUGGAUAACCUACCUAUAAGACUGGGAUAACUUCGGGAAACCGGAGCUAAUACCGGAUAAUAUAUUGAACCGCAUGGUUCAAUAGUGAAAGACGGUUUUGCUGUCACUUAUAGAUGGAUCCGCGCCGCAUUAGCUAGUUGGUAAGGUAACGGCUUACCAAGGCGACGAUGCGUAGCCGACCUGAGAGGGUGAUCGGCCCCACUGGAACUGAGACACGGUCCAGACUCCUACGGGAGGCAGCAGUAGGGAAUCUUCCGCAAUGGGCGAAAGCCUGACGGAGCACCGCCGCGUGAGUGAUGAAGGUCUUCGGAUCGUAAAACUCUGUUAUUAGGGAAGAACAAAUGUGUAAGUAACUAUGCACGUCUUGACGGUACCUAAUCAGAAAGCCACGGCUAACUACGUG
rnacentral:rRNA from 1 species